GAGGAACACAACAUGCCAGACAGCAUCAGAGGAGCGGGAGAUUACUAGAGGGUUGCAGUGGGAGACAGAUUCACUGAGGACUUUCUGGAGGGAGGAAGACAACUUCUUCAAGUAAUGGAUUUGCUAACUUUCAAACCUGUUCCAGAAUCCAGGAGAAUUUUGCAAAAUUAUUGACAGUGUACUCAAUUCAAGUUGCAGACUGCCUUUAAGCAAUUCAAGUCACUCAUGAUGUUGGUAUCCUGUUGAUGCAUGCAGAGAAUGAACAGCAGGAGAGCAUGGGCUAUAUGCUGCAACCAUGUACAAGAAGAGCAAGGGCUAAAUAAAUCUGCUGCCUGUGAUGCCAUAAAUGUGCACUAUAAACCCAACACUUGUUUUAGGGGUGAGCUAAUUUCUCCCCUCAAAAUGCUGAUUGUUUAAGUAAUUAUUUCAAUUCUAUGCUUAAAUCUAUGGUUAUUUCUAUUAAAAAUUCUUGCUGUCACUUUCAUUCACUGCCAACUACCAUUCUGGUCUAAGUAUGUGGGAAAUGUUGAGAUCGAAUUUGUGAGAUGCAAAUGAACACAUGAACCUUUUUGAAUGCAAAUUGUUUGUCAACUGAACUUUCUUAAAUUGAUUGCAAAUUAGUUUCUUUUGUCAUCUAACAGACCAACAUAACAAUAAAUGACACUUAAGGACAGAUUUUUAAAGAUCUUAGUCAUCUUGAGGGGCCUUUAAAGUUGAUAGUUGAGACCUAGAUACUGACAUUUUGUACAAACUCCCCUUUAUGGUGGCAGGAGAAGGCAUGGGUUGUGAAUCAUAUAGGUAGGAAGUCUGAACUCAGCAAGACCGUUUGACAGUAGGCCUGAAUGCAAAUAAGUCCUACUUUUGCUGAUACGGAGUGUCAACUCAGUGUGGGAAUCAAACAUGUUGAAGCAGAUUUAAAAGUUUGUGAAGGAUGGAAAUGCCUAUUUAAAAGUCAUGAUUUGAUGUUUUCACAAUUCAACAUCUUAUAAACAUAAAGUUACAGUAGUACUUAGAGCUUUUUAAAAAAUAUUCUGCUGGACUGCUUUGAUGUCAGACCACAUAGUUUAGUUUCAAUAAAAUCACAUCAGUUAAAAUAAUUUUAAUAGUAUUCUUUGUUCAUAUUUUCCAAGAGCUGUUAUUGCAGUGGAGAUUGUUAUAAAUUCUUUGCUUAGUUACAAAAAGUCAGAAGCAUGCCAUUUUUCAUGCAGAGGAGCUCAAUUUACAUUUUGACAAUUUAAAGAGGCUGUUAAAGGAUUACAUGUUGCUCUAAAGAUGAGAUUUUAUAAAAUUGUCCUGGUCUUUAAUUUAAGAUAUAGUGAAGGGAGGCCCUUCACUGAGACCUUCUGAAGUCUGCCUGGCAUCAAGUUUGGUUCAUGUGGCUGUUAAAGAUUGAAGGGACGAUCAAGGUGUUUGCUGCAAAGAAGGAAUAAGCUGUUCAUACUUGGAGGCAAUGACAGCGGCAUUGGUAUUUAUUUGUAAUGAUCUGCUGAUUGAUUUCUACAUGCGUAUAACGGCCAUGUGAUUUGCAGUCUCAUGAAAAUGGGCUUCGAAAACAUCCCAGAAACUUCCAGACAAAACUGGUUUCCCUCUUAGAAAGGGAGCAGCUAGAGGCUAAAAUUUUCCAUGGUUCACUGCUCAGGAAUGCAUAUGGAAACUAGCAUUUGGACUGAAAAGAUCAAAUUUAUGAGGACAUAAAUAGGUCAGAAAGAUUCACCUGGCUUGUGCUAGGGAGCAAGUCAUCAGGGAAAUCCCUCAAACUGAAAGGCACUUGUGGGUUUAAAGUUACCAGGCAGAAAAAGGAAAAAAAAAAUGGAAAAAAAACAUUUUAUGGGGUCCAGGAAAACUGAAUAUAAAGGAAAAGCCCUGUUUGGUAGUUUAAAAUAUAAGUUGCCUAUAACAGAAGGGCUUUAGUUUGUUUGUAAAAGUUGUAAAACACUAAAUAUCAUUACAUUAUCCUUUUAGCAGCCAACAGAAAUUUUGAUUUUUAAAAAAAAUUUAAUGAAGUUACCAUGUUUUACAGCUAUUAUAAUUCUGCCAUUGAUCUGGUAACUGAAUAAACUUUGUUUCUGUAACAGAUAUUAUGCUUAAGGAGACUUAACAUGGAUGGGGCCUUUUUGGCU